rnacentral:rRNA from 1 species
AUACGGAGGAUCCGAGCGUUAUCCGGAUUUAUUGGGUUUAAAGGGUGCGUAGGCGGCCUUUUAAGUCAGCGGUGAAAGUCUGUGGCUCAACCAUAGAAUUGCCGUUGAAACUGGGAGGCUUGAGUAUGUUUGAGGCAGGCGGAAUGCGUGGUGUAGCGGUGAAAUGCUUAGAUAUCACGCAGAACCCCGAUUGCGAAGGCACCCGGCAAAGCCAUGACUGACGCUGAUGCACGAAAGCGUGGGGAUCAAACAGGAUUAGAUACCCUGGUAGUCCACGCAGUAAACGAUGAUCACUAGCUGUUUGCGAUACACUGUAAGCGGCACAGCGAAAGCGUUAAGUGAUCCACCUGGGGAGUACGCCGGCAACGGUGAAACUCAAAUGAAUUGACGGGG